CUCUGGGCGGCUGUCUGUGGAGGCAGAAAGCGAGAGUGGACCCACGCACACCCUACGUGCAAGACUGGAAAGAGAUCCAAGCUCAGAGGAAAAGGAAGCAGCUGGGUGGAAGGGAUGAAGACCAUGCAAAGGAAAACAGAAGCGAAUGGGGUGCAGCUCCAAGGGACCCCUGGAAGUUGCCGAGAGCUGCAAGCCACUGCUCCCUCCCCCACCUCUGUGGCACCCCACCCUGUGCUCGGCAGACACUCCCAGUCCUGGGUGGGUGUCAGCUGUCUUCUCCACCCACCCACGGGCAGCAAAGGCAGCCAAAGGAAUCCAGUGAUCUCCUGCCACCUCGGCACCGACAACCGCUACAGCCCCUCACGGCCCGACUCCACGUCCAGGGAGGUGCGUCGCUGCCCAGCCCGGCCAACAUACGCACAGCCUCACCCCGUGGGCCACCCCUGGGGGGCCUGCCCCACAGCCACAGCACAUCCGCCAUCUCCGAGGGGCCACCCCCACAGUGGAGCUCCUGCCUGGCCCGCCCGCAUCUGUCUCAGCACACACCCUAUUCACUUAGCCCAAACCCAGGCCCCAAGCGCAACCCUCAGUGUGGCUCAGGGCCUGGGGGGUCCGGGCAAAUCCCUGACUCCCACCUACUGGCUUCUUGGCUCUUGUACACCUGUACUGCCUCACAGGCCGAUCCUGGAACAUUCCACCACCACACUUACGCUGUCCCCAGGAUGUCCUCCAUCCUACGCAGUCCUGGGUUCCCUCAGAGCCACCUGCCCAGACCCAGCCGCAGGAGCCUGUCUCCCACAGCUAAGCUUCUGAGGCACAUUCCAGUGCUCCCAGGGCUGAGUGUGGGCACCCUGGGCCCGCCCAAGGGCUCGUGUCUGAGUCACCUGCACCCCAGGGCCUGGGCCACCCUGAAGGCCACCGAGUCUUUUUGUGGGAGGACAGGAGAAGGGACGAGACAAGGUGGGGACAGAGCCCCACCCUGGGACGGCCUCCGACGCUGGCCAUGAGGACUCUAAGGCCAGACCAGCAUCCUCGGUCCCCAAGAACGGCCCACUCACCCACUCCUUGGCUUCUCCUAACCCUCCAGAAGCAAGCCCCCCCUUCCCACUUCCUCCUCCCAAAGACUGCCAAGGCCCCUCAGGCGGGUCUCGCACAUCUUCACCUCCCCGACCCUCGCAGACCUGCCAGCUCAGACCAGUGGCGUUUGUGCCUGUC